rnacentral:tRNA from 1 species
AGAUUAAAUAAAUUAAGCUUCUAACUUAAUAAUAAUGGAUUACCAUUUUAAUCUU